GGACAGAUGUCUGAGCGGUUUAAGGAGCACGCUUGGAAAGCGUGUGUAGGGCAACCUACCGUGGGCUCGAAUCCCACUCUGUCCGCCA
rnacentral:tRNA from 1 species